UGGCGGCGACGGCAGGUGGACGGUGGAGAGCGGCUGCCCUGCACCGCUUCAUCUUGUGCAAGCUGAAAGGGACAAUCAGACACGCUCCUUUUUAUAAGAGGGAAAGGAAGAACCUUGGGCAACGUUGGUGGAUUAGCAGGAGAUGAGAUUAUGAAGGAGAUAACUUUGGAAGUCUGCUCCGAUCCUCGUAUUCGUUCUGUUAACAGUGUUAUUACCUGUCCUAGCACUACUUAUACGUGUCGUAUUUUUACCUAUUUACAUGUCUCUAAAGAGACUGUGUCCCCAAGUCCCAACCCAGUGCUUGGCACCAUUGUAGGUGCUUUAUAAAUAUUUAAUAACUGAUCAAAUAGAAUUUGGAAAAUGGUAUCCUGGAAACGAGAGGAGAAUUAAGAGUCACAAUAGUGACUGAUGUUGAGAGGUCGAGUAAGAGAAGAUUCAGAAAGAGUCCAUUGGAUGUAACAACUAAGUAUGCACACAGAUGUACAUGCCUUCGACCAUUCCCUGUGGCAGGUGAUUUCUUCUGUCCCUAGCUCUCUGCCUCUUUUUGG